rnacentral:rRNA from 1 species
AGGGCUCCUACAUGCUUAAAACCGGCGGUGGAUAGUCAAGCGCUUUCACCGAGGAGGAAGCUACUGAGACUAAUACUCUGGGAUACUGCACGUUACUCGCAGAAUAAACACCGGCUAACUCUGUGCCAGCAGCCGCGGUAAUACAGAGGGUGCGAGCGUUAAUCGGAUUUACUGGGCGUAAAGCGUGCGUAGGCGGCUUUUUAAGUCGGAUGUGAAAUCCCCGAACUUAACUUGGGAAUUGCAUUCGAUACUGGGAAGCUACAGUAUGGGAGAGGAUGGUAGAAUUCCAGGUGUAGCGGUGAAAUGCGUAAAGAUCUGGAGGAAUACCGAUGGCGAAGGCAGCCAUCUGGCCUAAUACUGACGCUGAGGUACGAAAGCAUGGGGAGCAAACAGGAUUAGAUACCCUGGUAGUCCAUGCCGUAAACGAUGUCUACUAGCCGUUGGGGCCUUUGAGGCUUUAGUGGCGCAGCUAACGCGAUAAGUAAACCGCCUGGGGAGUAGGUCGCAACUAAAACUCAAA